rnacentral:rRNA from 1 species
CCAUAGAAGAUGGCGUUGAAAUGGUGGGGGUGUACGCUGGAAGCUUCGGCGACCAGUUCAGCCCGUCCACUAAUUACAGCCCAACGCUUGGAUGAG